rnacentral:rRNA from 1 species
CAGAGGGUGCGAGCGUUGUCCGGAAUCACUGGGCGUAAAGGGCGCGUAGGUGGCGCUCCAAGUCUGUGGUGAAAGCUCGACGCUCAACGUCGAGUCGGCCAUAGAGACUGGAGGGCUCGAGCACUGUAGGGGCAGAUGGAAUUCCGGGUGUAGCGGUGGAAUGCGUAGAGAUCCGGAAGAACACCGGUGGCGAAGGCGGUCUGCUGGGCAGUUGCUGACGCUGAGGCGCGACAGCGUGGGGAGCAAACAGGAUUAGAUACCCUGGUAGUCCACGCCGUAAACGAUGGGCACUAGAUGCUUGGGGGAGCGACCCCCUGAGUGUCGUCGCUAACGCAGUAAGUGCCCCGCCUGGGGAGUACGGCCGCAAGGCUG